rnacentral:rRNA from 1 species
UACGUAGGGGGCAAGCGUUAUCCGGAUUUACUGGGUGUAAAGGGAGCGUAGACGGCGAAGAAAGUCUGAAGUGAAAGCCCGCGGCUCAACCGCGGAAUGGCUUUGGAAACUUUUUUGCUGGAGUACCGGAGAGGUAAGCGGAAUUCCUAGUGUAGCGGUGAAAUGCGUAGAUAUUAGGAGGAACACCAGUGGCGAAGGCGGCUUACUGGACGGUAACUGGCGUUGAGGCUCGAAAGCGUGGGGAGCAAACAGG